rnacentral:rRNA from 1 species
UACGGGGGGAGCAAGCGUUGUUCGGAUUUACUGGGCGUAAAGGGCGCGUAGGCGGUCAGCACAAGUCAGUUGUGAAAUCUCCGAGCUUAACUCGGAAAGGUCGACUGAUACUGUGCGACUAGAGUGCGGAAGGGGCAACUGGAAUUCUUGGUGUAGCGGUGAAAUGCGUAGAUAUCAAGAGGAACACCUGCGGCGAAGGCGGGUUGCUGGGCCGACACUGACGCUGAAGCGCGAAGGCCAGGGGAGCGAACGGG